CGCGGCCUAUCAGCUUGUUGGUGAGGUAACGGCUCACCAAGGCAACGACGGGUAGCUGGUCUGAGAGGACGAUCAGCCACACUGGAACUGAGAUACGGUCCAGACUCCUACGGGAGGCAGCAGCAGGGAAUCUUGCGCAAUGGGCGAAAGCCUGACGCAGCGACGCCGCGUGGGGGAUGAAGGCCUUAGGGUUGUAAACCCCUUUCACGAGGGAAGAAGAUGACGGUACUUCGAGAAGAAGCCCCGACCAACUACGUGCCAGCAGCCGCGGUAAGACGUGGGGGGCGAGCGUUGUCCGGAUUUAUUGGGCGUAAAGGGCUCGUAGGCGGCUUGACAAGUCGGCCGUGAAAACCCAGGGCUCAACCCUGGGACGCCGGUCGAUACUGUCAUGGCUAGGGUCCGGUAGAGGGGAAUGGAAUUCCCGGUGUAGCGGUGAAAUGCGCAGAUAUCGGGAGGAACACCAGUAACGAAGGCGGUUCCCUGGGCCGGUACCGACGCUGAGGAGCGAAAGCGUGGGUAGCAAACAGGAUUAGAUACCCUGGUAGUCCACGCCGUAAACGUUGGGUACUAGGCGUGGCGUCUUAUCAACGGAUGCCGUGCUCGAAGCUAACGCGUUAAGUACCCCGCCUGGGGAGUACGG
rnacentral:rRNA from 1 species